rnacentral:rRNA from 1 species
AUCUGCCUUUUGCUGGGGUAUAGCCAGAAGAAAUUCUGAUUAAUCCCCCAUAAUAUAGAGGGGGCAUAUGUCCCCUUUAUUAAAACUUAAGGUGGCAAAAGAUGAGUCUACGUCUGAUUAGUUGGUUGGUGAGGUAAGAGCUCUACCAAGACUACGAUCAGUAGGGGGCCUUAGAGGGCGACCCCCCACAUUGGAACUGAGACACGGACCAAACUUCUACGGAAGGCAGCAGUGAGGAAUAUUGGUCAAUGGAGGGAACUCUGAACCAGCUAUGUCGCGUGCAGGACGACAGCCUUUUAGGUUGUAAACUGCUUUUGUAUAAAAAUAAAAAAUUCUACGUGAUAGGAACUUGAAGGUAUUAUAUGAAUAAGUGUCGGCUAAUUCUGUGCCAGCAGCCGCGGUAAUACAGAAGACACAAGCGUUAUUCGGAUUUAUUGGGUUUAAAGGGUGUGUAGGCUGUUUAUUAAGUCAGUAGUGAAAGCUUACAGCUUAACUGUAAAAUGGCUAUUGAUACUGGUAACCUAGAGUGAGAUGGGAGCAUCUGGAAUGUAUAGUGUAGCGGUGAAAUGCAUAGAUAUUAUACAGAACACCAAUAGCGAAGGCAGGAUGCUAAGUCUUAACUGACGCUGAAACACGAAAGCGUGGGGAGCAAACAGGAUUAGAUACCCUGGUAGUCCACUGCCCUAAACGAUGAUCACUAGCUAUUGGAAAAAUUAUAUUCAGUGGCGAAGCGAAAGUGAUAAGUGAUCCACCUGGGGAGUAUAGUCUCAAGAUUGAAACUCAAAGGAAUUGACGGGGGUUAGCACAAGCGGUGGAGCAUGUGGUUUAAUUCGAUGAUACGCGAGGAACCUUACCAAGGCUUAAAUGUAUUACGAAUAAGCUAGAAACAGCUUAGUCCACAUAGACGGAAUACAAGGUGCUGCAUGGUUGUCUUCAGUUCGUGCUGUGAAGUGUUUGGUUAAGUCCUAUAACGAGCGCAACCCUUAUUGUUAGUUGCCAACGGGUAAAGCCGGGGACUCUAAUAAAACUGCCUGUGUAAACAGUGAGGAAGGUGGGGAUGAUGUCAA